rnacentral:rRNA from 1 species
UUCCAGAGCCAUAUCUCCCUGCAGUUCUCACUUGGUUUCCCACUGAAACUAAGCAGGGUUGAGUGUGGCCAGUACCUGGAUGGAUGGGAGACCUCCUGGGGAAAGCUGAGGUUGCUGGUGGAAA